GGGUGGUAAUGCCGGAUGUUCCACAUGAUCGCAUGUGAUUGUGGGAAAGAUUCUAUCGGCGUGGGAUGGGGUCGCGUCCUAUCAGCUUGUUGGUGAGGUAACGGCUCACCAAGGCUUCGACGGGUAGCCGGCCUGAGAGGGCGACCGGCCACAUUGGGACUGAGAUACGGCCCAGACUCCUACGGGAGGCAGCAGUGGGGAAUAUUGCACAAUGGGCGCAAGCCUGAUGCAGCGACGCCGCGUGAGGGAUGGAGGCCUUCGGGUUGUAAACCUCUUUUGUUUGGGAGCAAGCCUUCGGGUGAGUGUACCUUUCGAAUAAGCGCCGGCUAACUACGUGCCAGCAGCCGCGGUAAUACGUAGGGCGCAAGCGUUAUCCGGAUUUAUUGGGCGUAAAGGGCUCGUAGGCGGCUCGUCGCGUCCGGUGUGAAAGUCCAUCGCUUAACGGUGGAUCUGCGCCGGGUACGGGCGGGCUGGAGUGCGGUAGGGGAGACUGGAAUUCCCGGUGUAACGGUGGAAUGUGUAGAUAUCGGGAAAGAAACACCA
rnacentral:rRNA from 1 species